rnacentral:rRNA from 1 species
AGUGAACGCUGGCGGUAGGCCUAACACAUGCAAGUCGAACGGCAGCACAGUAAGAGCUUGCUCUUACGGGUGGCGAGUGGCGGACGGGUGAGGAAUACAUCGGAAUCUACUUUUUCGUGGGGGAUAACGUAGGGAAACUUACGCUAAUACCGCAUACGACCUACGGGUGAAAGCAGGGGAUCUUCGGACCUUGCGCGAUUGAAUGAGCCGAUGUCGGAUUAGCUAGUUGGCGGGGUAAAGGCCCACCAAGGCGACGAUCCGUAGCUGGUCUGAGAGGAUGGUCAGCCACACUGAACUGAGACACGGUCCAGACUCCUACGGGAGGCAGCAGUGGGGAAUAUUGGACAAUGGGCGCAAGCCUGAUCCAGCCAUACCGCGUGAGUGAAGAAGGCCUUCGGGUUGUAAAGCCCUUUUGUUGGGAAAGAAAAGCAGCAGGUUAAUACCCCGCUGUUCUGACGGUACCCAAAGAAUAAGCACCGGCUAACUUCGUG